UUAUAGUAUAUUAUUAUUAAAGGUAGAGUAUUGAUAAAAUUCAUUAUAAUUAGUAUUUGUAGAAAAUAUAUUAUUAAUUUUAACUUCACAGGAUAUCUAUAUAAUAAUUAAAUUCUAAGAAACACAUAUUAAUGUCAGAUGCAGUUAACGCGGUCAUUAUAAUAAAAAUAUAUAAUGUAACAAUAAAUUAAAAAUAAAUGAACACAUCUUGAUGAUCAAACGAUAAAACUGAUAUAGAACUGAUCCAAUAAAAUUAUAUGUUUUCUGAAAUAAAAUGUUAAAAUAGUAAUUAAAAAAAAAAAAAAAAUACAGUUCUUAAUUUCAAGAAAAAAAAAAAAAAGAAAAAAAAUCGUAAGAUAGAAUAAGUAUGUAAGUAAACUUUUUUCAAUUUAAUGAUAUGAAGUUGCCAACAAAGAAAACUAAUAGUUCAAAUGUUCAAUAUAUUUUAAAAUAGUUUUUCCUUUUUAUGAACUUUUAAUGACAGAUAUUUUUAAUAUUAAUUUUUUAUAAGAACGUGCUCAAGUAUAUCAUUUAUUAAAUUUGUAUAAUGAUAAAUAGAGGAAAUAAUAACAAUUAUGUGUCAAGCUUUUAAUAUUAUGCAAGAUAAGACUGAGAUGCAAAAAACCAAUCGCGGGCAUUUUGGUUGGUUAUACAAGGUUCGUUAAUAAGCUUAAGUAAUUAUUUGCAAUUCUAAUUACUAUAUUCCAAAAUGAUAUUAAUUAUAAUAUCAAUAACAUAAUACAUGUAACUAAAUAAUUAAGUAUAAGGAAUAAAAUUAUACAGAAAUAGAAAAAAAAAAU